GAUCUCGUUUCGUUAUCUUUGAUUUCAUUUAUUCCGACAAAAGUCUUACAAAUAUAGCGCAGCGACUUGGCUGAUGAUUUGUGAUCGGUUUCUAAAACCCUAAUGAACUCAUGAUUAUUCGUUGGCUUACAGGGCGUUCUGAUUUUUAAUUGAACUCUCACUAUGCCCAUAUUCUAUGGUAAUCUUCAAUUGCUCUGUUCCGUACGAGUAUUAUUUAUAUGUUUCGUCGUUUGUCUCGAAACUUGGAUUUCUACAAACUCUUUAAAAUACACAGCUUGUGCCAUUUGUUGCCGAAAUUGGAUAUGAAAUCAGCCUUCCAAUCGCUGUUUUGAUGAAUGCAACUGGGAUUUAUCUACAACAAACUCUGCAUCUGGACUUCUGGACCAAGCAAGCAGCUCAAUCUUAUGAGUGAUGAUCAGAUAGUUGUAUGUAUUAGCAAUUUGAGUCUCCUGAAGGGUAUGCAUCUUAUAGCCACGUACAACUAGAGCUUUAACUAAACCGUAAAAGGCAUCAACUUACAGUAUUAGAAACUUAUGAUUAACUUCAACUGUGGGACAGAGUAAAAUUGAAAUUAGAGUUGGGACGAGUAACAAUAAAGCCAAAUGUGAUGUUCGAUAUUUGAGAGUGCUAAAACUUGAGUUCAUGAAAUGGAGAGGUGAAUUAAAUUUAGAGAUGAGAAUGUCCAUUACUCUAAUGCUUGUAUACAUACACAUACUUCAUGUGAUAGAACAAGUAGCUGAUAGUGACUGGGCCGGCCUAAUUAAAAUAGAAAGAGAGCAUCCAGUCCUCCUUUUCCUAAAGUCUGAAAAGCCCUAAGCUGCUGUGGAAUUUUUGUCUCCAUCCUCCAUUAACUCUGGUUUUUCUUUAGUUUCCCCAGUUUCAUUUAUAAAAAUAUAUAUUCUUUUUGUUGAUUUAGUAUUAUUUACAUAUCUUUUAUGUUCAACGCUUUAAAAUGUGCACAGUUCACAGAAAAGGUAGAGAUGCAAACCCUCCCUUGCAAACCUUCUACACUUUUUUCCGAGCUCAGAAGUAUGAUCUUCGAAAAGCUAGAGCAUUGUGCUUCUCUUUAACAUGACACACAAAGUUAGGACAUUCAGAAUAUACCUGGAUAUAUUUGAUGCUUAAAAUCCUGAAAUCAUGUGGUGGAACUGUGUCAUAUGGCCGAUGCUUGUAUAGCACUUCAACUAUUUUGCUUAAUUUUAUUGUUUUUGAUCUGUAAUCAAGGUAAUUAUAUGUACGCAGUAUAUGUUCGUUACAUGAAAGUUGUACACUUGCAUGUUGCCUUUUCUUUUCUUUGCCGAUCAUUUCAAUACAUUAAUGCAUUUAACAGCGAACAUAUUUUUUA